rnacentral:lncRNA from 12 species
UAUUACUGUUUUAACUUUUUUUGUUUUGUUUUGUUUUAGAGCAAAAUAGACUAAUUAAAAAAAACAUUGGUUUUGCUGUUUUUUCUUUAUAGCAUUGCAGCACAUGGGUAAGGGUGAUGACGCUAUACGUGAGGCACUUUAUCAUCUUCGAGACCUCAUGGAUUAUGCACAUCUCUUCACAUUUGUAAGUACUAUGCUUUUUGAACAUAUUCAUGACAUCUUAUUUCUUCAUUUACACUAUAAAUAAUCAUUAUUUUCUGCAUCUUUCAAAGAACAUGAACGUGAUAUACAUACCGAAUGUGCAUAUUGAAAGCGGGGAGGUGAGUUUUGGGAAAAAUGUGAAAUUUGUGGGUUUGAGAUGCCAUUUAUCUGAGCAAGCCUGGGCCUGUUUUCUUCAGAUGUGCAACUGUAAAGAGUUCAUUGCUCAAGAGCUUCUGAAGACGUUAGUUUCAGCAGAAAUCACUGAUCAAGACGCUGCUGCUGAACCACGCACUGCACUUAGACUGUUACAGCACAAUAUCAGAUUUCUCCUUCAGAAUUCGAUUGGAGAACACUGUCUAAAAGACAAAGUCAUGGUUCACAAGAUUAAUUUGAGGAUUAAUCAAGAGUUGAUGUUCAUUCGUCGAUGUUUCACAUUUUUCCAGGAUUGGAUGUUCAAAUGCACAACCAGCAGUGACUUUUGAUUUCUGAUUAAUUCCCUUUGACUGCUGUCGAGAUUAUUACAUUAAAUAACUGUUUAAGUACCUAUUACUUUUAUAAAUGGCCUAACAGGACAAGAUCUAAUAUUGAUAGAAGCUGUAAAACCAUGUUACUAUGUGAUUUGUUUCUCAAUAUUGCAAUAAAUAAUAAUGAGUGACC